AUUGAACGCUGGCGGCAGGCCUAACACAUGCAAGUCGAGCGGAUGAAGGGAGCUUGCUCCUGGAUUCAGCGGCGGACGGGUGAGUAAUGCCUAGGAAUGUGCCUGGUAGUGGGGGAUAACGUCCGGAAACGGGCGCUAAUACCGCAUACGUCCUGAGGGAGAAAGUGGGGGAUCUUCGGACCUCACGCUAUCAGAUGAGCCUAGGUCGGAUUAGCUAGUUGGUGGGGUAAAGGCCUACUAAGGCGACGAUCCGUAACUGGUCUGAGAGGAUGAUCGGUCACACUGGAACUGAGACACGGUCCAGACUCCUACGGGAGGCAGCAGUGGGGAAUAUUGGACAAUGGGCGAAAGCCUGAUCCAGCCAUGCCGCGUGUGUGAAGAAGGUCUUCGGAUUGUAAAGCACUUUAAGUUGGGAGGAAGGGCAGUAAGUUAAUACCUUGCUGUUUUGACGUUACCAACAGAAUAAGCACCGGCUAACUUCGUG
rnacentral:rRNA from 1 species